rnacentral:misc_RNA from 1 species
AAAUGCGAUAAUUAAUGUGAAUUGCAGAAUUCAGUGAAUCAUCGAAUCUUUGAACGCACCUUGCGCUCCUUGGUAUUCCUUGGAGCAUGCCUGUUUGAGUAUCAUGAAAUCUUCAAAGUAAAUCUUUUGUUAACUCAAUUGGUUUCUACUUUGGUAUUGGAGGUCUUUGCAGCUUCACACCUGCUCCUCUUUGUUCAUUAGCUGGAUCUCAGUGUUAUGCUUGGUUCCACUCGGCGUGAUAAGUUAUCUAUCGCUGAGGACACUGUAAAAGGUGGCCAAGGUAAAUGCAGAUGAACCGCUUCUAAUAGUCCAUUGACUUGGACAAUACUUUUAUGAUCUGAUCUCAAAUCAGGUAGGACUACCCGCUGAACUUAAGC